rnacentral:rRNA from 1 species
AGACCCGAAACCCGGUGAUCUAGCCAUGGGCAGGUUGAAGGUUGGGUAACACUAACUGGAGGACCGAACCGACUAAUGUUGAAAAAUUAGCGGAUGACCUGUGGCUGGGGGUGAAAGGCCAAUCAAACCGGGAGAUAGCUGGUUCUCCCCGAAAGCUAUUUAGGUAGCGCCUCGUGAAUUCAUCUCCGGGGGUAGAGCACUGUUUCGGCUAGGGGGCCAUCCCGGCUUACCAACCCGAUGCAAACUGCGAAUACCGGAGAAUGUUAUCACGGGAGACACACGGCGGGUGCUAACGUCCGUCGUGAAGAGGGAAACAACCCAGACCGCCAGCUAAGGUCCCAAAGUCAUGGUUAAGUGGGAAACGAUGUGGGAAGGCCCAGACAGCCAGGAUGUUGGCUUAGAAGCAGCCAUCAUUUAAAGAAAGCGUAAUAGCUCACUGGUCGAGUCGGCCUGCGCGGAAGAUGUAACGGGGCUAAACCAUGCACCGAAGCUGCGGCAGCGACACUGUGUGUUGUUGGGUAGGGGAGCGUUCUGUAAGCCUGUGAAGGUGUGUCGUGAGGCAUGCUGGAGGUAUCAGAAGUGCGAAUGCUGACAUAAGUAACGAUAAAGCGGGUGAAAAGCCCGCUCGCCGGAAGACCAAGGGUUCCUGUCCAACGUUAAUCGGGGCAGGGUGAGUCGACCCCUAAGGCGAGGCCGAAAGGCGUAGUCGAUGGGAAACGGGUUAAUAUUCCCGUACUUGGUGUUACUGCGAAGGGGGGACGGAGAAGGCUAUGUUGGCCGGGCGACGGUUGUCCCGGUUUAAGCGUGUAGGUGUGUGUUCCAGGUAAAUCCGGUUCACUUUAACACUGAGGCGUGACGACGAGGCACUACGGUGCUGAAGCAACAAAUGCCCUGCUUCCAGGAAAAGCCUCUAAGCAUCAGGUAACAUCAAAUCGUACCCCAAACCGACACAGGUGGUCAGGUAGAGAAUACCAAGGCGCUUGAGAGAACUCGGGUGAAGGAACUAGGCAAAAUGGUGCCGUAACUUCGGGAGAAGGCACGCUGACACGUAGGUGAAGUGAUUUACUCAUGGAGCUGAAGUCAGUCGAAGAUACCAGCUGGCUGCAACUGUUUAUUAAAAACACAGCACUGUGCAAACACGAAAGUGGACGUAUACGGUGUGACGCCUGCCCGGUGCCGGAAGGUUAAUUGAUGGGGUCAGCGCAAGCGAAGCUCCUGAUCGAAGCCCCGGUAAACGGCGGCCGUAACUAUAACGGUCCUAAGGUAGCGAAAUUCCUUGUCGGGUAAGUUCCGACCUGCACGAAUGGCGUAAUGAUGGCCAGGCUGUCUCCACCCGAGACUCAGUGAAAUUGAACUCGCUGUGAAGAUGCAGUGUACCCGCGGCAAGACGGAAAGACCCCGUGAACCUUUACUAUAGCUUGACACUGAACAUUGAGCCUUGAUGUGUAGGAUAGGUGGGAGGCUUUGAAGUGUGGACGCCAGUCUGC